rnacentral:rRNA from 1 species
GAUGAACGCUAGCGGGAGGCCUAACACAUGCAAGCCGAGCGGUAUUUGUUCUUCGGGACAGAGAGAGCGGCGCACGGGUGCGGAACACGUGUGCAACCUGCCUUUAUCUGGGGGAUAGCCUUCCGAAAGGAAGAUUAAUACCCCAUAAUAGAUUGAGUGGCAUCCCUUGAUAUUGAAAACUCCGGUGGAUAGAGAUGGGCACGCGCAAGAUUAGAUAGUUGGUGAGGUAACGGCUCACCAAGUCAAUGAUCUUUAGGGGGCCUGAGAGGGUGAUCCCCCACACUGGUACUGAGACACGGACCAGACUCCUACGGGAGGCAGCAGUGAGGAAUAUUGGACAAUGGGUUAGCGCCUGAUCCAGCCAUCCCGCGUGAAGGACGACGGCCCUAUGGGUUGUAAACUUCUUUUGUAUAGGGAUAAACCUACUCUCGUGAGAGUAGCUGAAGGUACUAUACGAAUAAGCACCGGCUAACUCCGUG